GCCUUCGGUACUCUUGGGAAAACGUCUCGCCGCUGUGCGUUUGUUUUUUCGCAGAGAGUUUAUGAUUCCGGAAAAUUAACUGCGAUCAGCAGCGGCGCAACCGGGGGCUCUUUUGAAUGGGCGUGUCACGUGUCUACAUUAAGAAAAAAACUCGUUUACAUUACUUGUACGCGGAUUUGUGGGAGGUGGCCGGACACCCGAAACACCGGACAGUCGCAAUUCUGUUUGAGCCACUGACUACGAAUGAAC